AACGUAGGACACAAGCGUUAUCCGGAAUUACUGGGCGUAAAGGGCGUGCAGGCGGUUGCGUAAGUUAGGCGUGAAAGACUUCGGCUAAACCGGGGGAGGUCGUCUGAUACUGCGCAACUAGAGUAUGGUAGAGGCGUGUAGAAUUCCGGGUGUAGUGGUGAAAUGCGUAGGGAUCCGGAGGAAUACCAGUGGCGAAGGCGGCACGCUGGGCCAUAACUGACGCUAAGACGCGAAAGCAUGGGUAGCGAACGGG
rnacentral:rRNA from 1 species